GCCGGGUGUGGUGGCACACACCUGUAAUCCCAGCUACAUGGGAGGCUGAGGCAGGAGAAUUGCUUGAGCCUGGGAGGCAGAGGUUUCAGUGAGCCGAGGUCAUGCCACUGCACUCCAGCCUGGCCAACAGAGCAAGACUCUGUCUCAC
rnacentral:SRP_RNA from 1 species